rnacentral:rRNA from 1 species
GUGGGGAAUCUUCCGCAAUGGACGAAAGUCUGACGGAGCAACGCCGCGUGAGUGAUGAAGGUCUUCGGAUUGUAAAGCUCUGUUAAUCGGGACGAAAGAGCCUAGUGUGAAUAAUGCUAGGAAGUGACGGGACCGGAAUAGAAAGCCACGGCUAACUACGUGCCAGCAGCCGCGGUAAUACGUAGGUGGCAAGCGUUGUCCGGAAUUAUUGGGCGUAAAGCGCGCGCAGGCGGAUCUGCCAGUCUGGCUUAAAAGUUCGGGGCUUAACCCCGUGAUGGGAUUGAAACUACAGAGCUAGAGUAUCGGAGAGGAAAGUGGAAUUCCUAGUGUAGCGGUGAAAUGCGUAGAUAUUAGGAAGAACACCAGUGGCGAAGGCGACUUUCUGGACGAAAACUGACGCUGAGGCGCGAAAGCCAGGGGAGCGAACGGGAUUAGAAACCCUGGUAGUCC